GCCAACGUCCAUACCACGUUGAACACACCGGUUCUCGUCCGAUCACCGAAGUUAAGCAACGUCGGGCGCGGUCAGUACUUGGAUGGGU
rnacentral:rRNA from 1 species